rnacentral:rRNA from 1 species
UGCCAGCCGCCGCGGUAAGACGGAGGGUGCUAGCGUUGUUCGGAAUUACUGGGCGUAAAGGGCGCGUAGGCGGCCAGGCAAGUCGGAUGUGAAAGCCCGGGGCUCAGCCUCGGAACUGCAUUCGAAACUGCUUGGCUAGAGAACGGAAGAGGAGAGUGGAAUACCCAGUGUAGAGGUGAAAUUCGUAGAUAUUGGGUGGAACACCGGUGGCGAAAGCGGCUCUCUGGUCCGGGUCUGACGCUGAGGCGCGAAAGCGUGGGGAGCAAACAGGAUUAGAUA